rnacentral:rRNA from 1 species
CCCUUAGACGUUCUGGGCCGCACGCGCGCUACACUGACCAGUGCAACAAGCAUCCGUCCUUGGCCGACAGGCCCGGGCAAUCUUUGAACGCUGGUCGUGAUGGGGAUAGACUUUUGCAAUUUUUGGUCUUCAACGAGGAAUUCCUAGUAAACGCAAGUCAUCAACUUGCAUUGAUUACGUCCCUGCCCUUCGUACACACCGCCCGUCGCACCUACCGAUUGAAUGGUCCGGUGAAGCCUCCGGAUUGGCGCGCACCUCGGUGCCGCCGAGAAGUUGGCUAAACCUUACCAUUUAGAGGAAGGUGAAGUCGUAACA